rnacentral:rRNA from 1 species
GACGAACGCUGGCGGUGUGCUUAACACAUGCAAGUCGAACGGUAAGGCCCUUUCGGGGGUACACGAGUGGCGAACGGGUGAGUAACACGUGAGUAACCUGCCCUCAUCUCUGGGAUAACAGUCGGAAACGGUUGCUAAUACUGGAUAUGAGCUUGCAAGGCAUCUUGUGGGUUGGAAAGAUUUUUUUUGGUUGGGGAUGGACUCGCGGCCUAUCAGCUUGUUGGUGAGGUAGUGGCUCACCAAGGCUUCGACGGGUAGCCGGCCUGAGAGGGCGACCGGCCACAUUGGGACUGAGAUACGGCCCAAACUCCUACGGGAGGCAGCAGGGGGGAAUAUUGCACAAUGGACGGAAGUCUGAUGCAGCAACGCCGCGUGCGGGAUGACGGCCUUCGGGUUGUAAACCGCUUUCAAUUGUGACGAAGCUUUUUUGUGACGGUAGCAGUAGAAGAAGCACCGGCUAACUACGUG